rnacentral:rRNA from 1 species
AGCUAAGUUCUUAAGGGCGCAUGGUGAAUGCCUUGGCACUAGAAGCCGAAGAAGGACGUAGGAGGCUGCGAUAAGCCUCGGGGAGCUGCCAACCGAGCUUUGAUCCGAGGAUCUCCGAAUGGGGAAACCCAGCACGAGUGAUGUCGUGUUACCCACUGCUGAAUAUAUAGGCUUUGGGAGGAAACGCGGGGAAGUGAAACAUCUCAGUACCCGUAGGAAGAGAAAACAACCGUGAUUCCGUGAGUAGUGGCGAGCGAAAGCGGAAGAUGGCUAAACCGCAUGCAUGUGAUACCUGGUAGGGGUUGUGUGUGCGGGGUUGUGGGAGUUGUACUUGCCGGUUCUACCAGGCCGGCGGACAGUAAAAAAGUGUCGUGAUUAGCGGAAGUGGUCUGGGACGGCCCGCCGCAGACGGUGAGAGUCCGGUACGCGAAAAUCCGACACCUGUCUCGUACUUCAUCCCGAGUAGCAGCGGGCUCGUGGAAUCUGCUGUGAAUCUGCCGGGACCACCCGGUAAGCCUAAAUACUCUCUAGUGACCGAUAGCGGAUUAGUACCGUGAGGGAAUGGUGAAAAGUACCCCGGGAGGGGAGUGAAAUAGUACCUGAAAC